rnacentral:misc_RNA from 1 species
UCCGGUUUGUCACCGGCAGUCUCCUAUGAGUCCCCAACUUAAUGCUGGCAACAUAGGACGGGGGUUGCGCUCGUUGCGGGACUUAACCCAACAUCUCACGACACGAGCUGACGACAGCCAUGCACCACCUGUGAAAGUGUCCCGAAGGAAGACCGUGUUUCCACGGCUGUCACCGACAUGUCAAACCCAGGUAAGGUUCUUCGCGUUGCGUCGAAUUAAGCCACAUACUCCACCGCUUGUGCAGGCCCCCGUCAAUUUCUUUGAGUUUUAGCCUUGCGGCCGUACUCCCCAGGCGGGGCGCUUAAUGCGUUAGCUACGGCACGGAUCCCGUGGAAGGAAACCCACACCUAGCGCCCACCGUUUACGGCGUGGACUAC